UGUCCUGGUUGCCUGUUAUGCUAUCCCUGGAUCUUGCCCUGGUGUAUAUGAACGGCCUGUUCUCUGGAGGAGCCAACACUCAAGUAUGUGCUCUCUCUGGUCCUUGCCAGAGCUAUGAUUGCUGGAAAGGGAAGCAGGCCCGAGGACCAGGGUCUCACACUAUGCAGCUGAAGUUGGCCGACAACUCCUGAUCCUCUGGCGUGCUAGGAUCAUUGGCAAGACUCCCUUCACCAUGUCUGCCUGCUGCCAUGCUCCCUGCCAUGAUGAUAAUGGACUAAGCACCUGAAAUGGUAAGCAAGCUCAAUUCAAUAUUUUCCUUUAUCCUCAACCCAAUAAGUUCCCUUGAUCAUUGAGUCUCAUCACAGCAACAGAACAAUGACUAAGACUGCA
rnacentral:sRNA from 1 species